rnacentral:rRNA from 1 species
AUUGAACGCUGGCGGCAGGCCUAACACAUGCAAGUCGAGCGGCAGCACAAGUGAGUUUACUCAUGAGGUGGCGAGCGGCGGACGGGUGAGUAACGCGUAAGGAACUUGCCUCUUGGACUGGGACAACUGUUGGAAACGACAGCUAAUACCGGAUAUUAUGAGAUUCUCGCAUGAGAAACUUAUGAAAGCUAUAUGCGCCAAGAGAGAGCCUUGCGUUCCAUUAGCUAGUUGGUGGGGUAAUGGCCCACCAAGGCGACGAUCCCUAGCUGGUCUGAGAGGAUGAUCAGCCACACUGGAACUGAGACACGGUCCAGACUCCUACGGGAGCAGCAGUGGGAAUAUUGCACAAUGGGGGAACCCUGAUGCAGCCAUGCCGCGUGUGUGAAGAA